UACUAGAGUAGCACUCGCAUAUCAAUAAGCGGAGGAAAAGAAACUAACAAGGAUUCCCCUAGUAACGGCGAGUGAAGCGGGAAGAGCUCAAAUUUGAAAUCUUAAAGGGUUUCCCUUUACGAAUUGUAGUUUAAAGAAGUGUUUUCUGUUGAGGUUUUGGUAAAAGUUCUUUGGAAUAGGACAUCAUAGAGGGUGAGAAUCCCGUAUUUGACCUUUACUUUCAACUUUGUGAUACACUUUCAAAGAGUCGGAUUGUUUGGGAAUGCAGUCCAAAAUGGGUGGUAAAUUUCAUCUAAAGCUAAAUAUUGGCGAGGAGACCGAUAGCGAACAAGUACCGUGAGGGAAAGAUGAAAAGAACUUUGAAAAGAGAGUUAAACAGUACGUGAAAUUGUCAAAAGGGAAGCGUUUGACACCAGUGUUGUUUUUCUAGAAAAUCAAUUAAAGAACUGUUUAUGCUAAGCUGUUUAGACUUUAUCAGCUAUCUGUUUAGUUUUGAGCUUUUCUUUAAUGCACUUUUCAGUUAACAAGUCAACAUCAAUUUCUUUUGCUGUAAAAAAGCUUGAGGAAGGUGGCUUGAGAUUCGUCUUAAGUGUUUAUAGCCUCUUGCCUAUGCAGUCGGAGAGAUUGAGGUCUGCAGCGUAGAUCCUUCGGGGCUAAAUGCAUUUGUGCUAAGUUAUAGCAUUUUAUAGACAACUUGUUGACUAUGAUUUGUCUUGUAGCUUACUCGCUUAUGUUAUUUUACCUACGCUUAGGAUGUUGAAGACUCUACAGAGAUA
rnacentral:rRNA from 1 species